UUGAGCUGGAUCGCCACGCCGCGGCCGUGGGCUUCGGUGAUGCCGAAGCGGAUCGAGCGGAACAUCGAGGCGAGGUACGUCGUGUACAUCGUUUCGUUGAACGACUUGUCCAGCUUCUCGC
rnacentral:misc_RNA from 1 species